rnacentral:rRNA from 1 species
GAUGAACGCUGGCGGCGUGCCUAAUACAUGCAAGUCGAGCGAACAGACGAGGAGCUUGCUCCUCUGACGUUAGCGGCGGACGGGUGAGUAACACGUGGAUAACCUACCUAUAAGACUGGGAUAACUUCGGGAAACCGGAGCUAAUACCGGAUAAUAUAUUUAACCGCAUGGUUCAAUAGUGAAAGACGGUUUUGCUGUCACUUACAGAUGGAUCCGCGCCGCAUUAGCUAGUUGGUAAGGUAACGGCUUACCAAGGCAACGAUGCGUAGCCGACCUGAGAGGGUGGUCGGCCACACUGGAACUGAGACACGGUCCAGACUCCUACGGGAGGCAGCAGUAGGGAAUCUUCCGCAAUGGGCGAAAGCUUGACGGAGCAACGCCGCGUGAGUGAUGAAGGUCUUCGGAUCGUAAAACUCUGUUAUUAGGGAAGAACAAAUGUGUAAGUAACUAUGCACGUCUUGACGGUACCUAAUCAGAAAGCCACGGCUAACUACGUG